GGAGGCUCAGCCAUUUGGCUGUGGUGCCGGAGACGGACCCCUUUAGAUACCGGGGCCGCCGAAGAGGAGCGCGGCUGCACCUUGGUGGUUGCGCGCUGGGGGCGGGAGGGAAGGCAGGGCAGGUGCGUGGACCUGAAGGUUCGUGGCCGGGGGCGGGGCCGCAGGUGCGUGGACACGGGAGGGGCGGGGUCCUUGCGGGGGCAUCCUCUGGGUGCUGGGCGGGCGGACGAGGCCUGGGGCGCGCGGGCACAAGGCAGGCCCAAGGAGGGCGCGCAUUUUUGGAGCGCACGAAGGACAAAUCCCACCACACACACACACACCCCGGGAUGCCCACUUGGCACAACCCCUCCGACCGGUCUGCUCCCAUCUCCGCAAUUAAAUAAUCAAGUCUUAAGUGCAUGACGCUCCCACAUCCAAAGGAGCGAGGGCGCGAUCUCGACCCCAGAGGCUUGGCAAUCUGAUGCCCUGUCUUAAAAGAAGCAAUUCCCCGAGAGUCAUCGGGGGGAUCUUGUAUAGGGCAAUUAAUGAAUGGAAAGGCCGCAGAUGGAGAACUGUAUAAAAUAUUAAAAAGUGGAAAAGGAAGGUGCUGGGAACUGCCGAUUCUCAGAGCCGAACAUAAUUGACGGGCUUUAUAGGAUUUUUUGAGAGAGAGCGUUGCACGUUUCAUUCUAAUCGUUUGGUUGGAUCUGCAUUGCCAAAGAGUCGCUAACUGGGGGCACUUACGCCAGGUCUUACAGUUGCUUUGGGUUUUGUUUUUGUUCGACCACGUUACGUUUUUUAAGAAACCUUUACAGCCCUGGUUCCCAUUGGGUUACCAGCUUCCUAUGGGCAGCCCUCGGACCUCAUGGUACUAUGUGGAUGUCCGGCUGUGAACAAAUUACGGGAUACAUGUUUAAUUUUAUUCACACAACUUUAUCAUAGUGUCUUUUCCUAUGUGUCUUCAUCUACACGCUUCUGCAAACACCCCCAAAGUAAUUCUUUUUUUGAGACAUUAGAACUAAGUAUUUUAUUUAGUUAGUUCUUUUAGAUCAAACAAAUGGAUUUGAAAGCUGAUAAAUGUUUAUUCUAAGUAGCUGGAAGUACAAAAUAAAACCAUUUCGUCUGGGUAAAUAUGUAA
rnacentral:lncRNA from 1 species